ensembl:lncRNA
CCUCUCGCUCCUACUAAGAAGCCAACUGACCCGGUUGAUAUAUUAUCGAAUAGAUAUUUGAAAAACACCUUGAAGAUUGAUUAUAAAAAACGUUUGCCAUGUUUCUGUCGAUAUUAUGGAUCUAAUUUGGAAUAUUUUUCGGCGUUGUCGUGACCGCAGUUUCCGGUGGAUUUCUCAACCAAACGUGAAGAACAAAAGGAGGUAUUUCGGCUACAAAAAUAAUCUUUAUGAAACAAAAUGAACAUUUGCUGUCUAACUGGGAGUCUCGUCAGUGAAAACAUCCGAAGAUCAUCAAAGGAUGCUCCCGUCAUUUGUGGGAAUGCUUGACGGAAGAACAAAGCACUUUGGCAGGAGUGGAAAGAUAUGUGGCGCCACAUUCCAGAAGGCAUUCCACGAGUGAACGUAUGGGCUGUUUGAAAUAGACACUCUUUGUGAAAGCGUUCUCCUCCAUGGUCCUGCCUGCUCACAGGAGAUGCAUGCUGUAUCAGUUGGAUGGGAAUUGCAAUCAAUACCACUUCCGGAAAGCCUCAGGUACAGACAGACAUUCACACCACUGGCAGUGGGCUGGAAUAAGAGGAAGUUCACCAACAUGGAUGUUGGCAAAAAGACAUGUGAAGAACGUCAGAAGACUGAAGGAGGAGACCAGCCUCCUUGAAGCAAAGCAGAGUUGGACAUCAAUGACACUGUGCUUCUGGAGUGGGUUGCUGGGGUGCUACAGUGGCCUGAAGACGAGAGGAGGACAAGAGAUGACGAGAGAACUGGAUGAGAACAAGCAGCCUUGACAGCUGCCAUCGUUCAACUUCACGAGCAGCAGACGGAGUUCAGGCUCCCAACAGUGGAGGAGCUGCUCAAUACUGACAACUGUGUGUGGCCAUGGGAGAGUCUUGGCACCAGUAAGAAACAUGAUUGCAGAAGACUGAUGGUGAACAGACUGCAGGAGGAAGAGAAGGUCCUGGUGCAGGAGAGGAGGCACUAGGGGAGCCUACAAAGAGCAGUAGGAUCCCUGGAGGCACUGUCCCUACAGCUGCAAGAUCAGAGGAAGUUGAGGCAGUGGGCACAAAACCAAGUCAACAGCAGGAACAGCUACCACAAGCUGAUUCUGGGAGAAGGGGAUAUUUUUGACGACUGAUGAAGAUGAGCUCAGAUGAAGAUAGAUGUCCUAUUGCUGAGAGCUCAGACGAUGCCUGCUAUGUUUUCUGAAAUCAUACACCUCCCCUGCCACAGGAGAGGGAGAAGGCCACCUCCCCUGCCUCUUUCUCUCAUUCUCUGUCUCCCACAGGAGAGGGAGAAGGCCACCACCCUUGCCACUUUGUCUCGGUCUCUCUCUCCCACAGGAAAGGGAGAAAGCCACCACCCCUGCCUCUUUCUCUCGGUCUCUCUCCCGCAGAAGAGGGAAAAGGUCACCACCACCUCCCUUUUGAGAAGCCUGGUCUCCUGAUGUUGACCCCCUAACCCCUCACCUUCUGAACUCAUCCAGGUCAAUGUAAUUUGCCUGAUGACGUGCUAGUGGAGAAGGAAUGUGUCAUUUGAGCGCAUUUGUUCCCAUGUUUCCUCUCCUCUGUUUCUUCCGGUCCUAGACUACGGCGACAUCAUCAGCAACUCAGACAGUUGGUUGCGUACCUCUUUACUAAGGAAUGUGGUUGGUUUAUUUUCUUGGAGUAUUUACUAUGCUGCUGUGAUUUAGAUGUUUGCAAAAUAAU